UACAGAGGAGCCAAGCGUUGUCCGGAUUGACUGGGCGUAAAGCGCACGCAGGCGGUCGCGCGCGUGGGGUGUGAAAUCUGGCCGCUUAACGGCCAGGCGCCAUCCCAUACGGCGCGACUGGAGUGAUGCAGAGGUCGGUGGAAUUGCCGGUGUAGUGGUGAAAUGCGUAGAGAUCGGCAGGAACACCCAGGGGGAAGCCAGCCGACUGGGCAUCUACUGACGCUGAGGUGCGAGAGCGUGGGGAGCGAACCGG
rnacentral:rRNA from 1 species